rnacentral:rRNA from 1 species
AGCUCCAAUAGCGUAUAUUUAAGUUGUUGCAGUUAAAAAGCUCGUAGUUGCAUUUCCGAGGCAAGGGAUUAGUCCGACCUUUGGUGGGUAUUUAAUCCUCUUGCCUCGUCCUUGAGUGGUGCUUCUUGGUAUUAAGUUAUCGAGGAGAUAGCCGCUCAUCGUUUACUGUGAGAAAAUUAGAGUGUUCAAAGCAGGCUUAUGCCGUUGAAUAUAUUAGCAUGGAAUAAUAAGAUAGGACCUCGGUACUAUUUUGUUGGUUUGAGAACCAAGGUAAUGAUGAAUAGGGACAGUUGGGGGUAUUCGUAUUCAGUUGUCAGAGGUGAAAUUCUUAGAUUUACGGAAGACGAACUACUGCGAAAGCAUUUACCAAGGAUGUUUUCA